GAUGAACGCUGGCGGCGUGCCUAAUACAUGCAAGUCGAGCGAACAGACGAGGAGCUUGCUCCUCUGACUUUAGCGGCGGACGGGUGAGUAACACGUGGAUAACCUACCGAUAAGACUGGGAUAACUUCGGGAAACCGGAGCUAAUACCGGGUAAUAUAUUGAACCUCAUGGUUCAAUAGUGAAAGACGGUUUUGCUGUCACUUAGAGAUGGAUCCGCGGCGCAUUAGCUAGUUGGUAAGGUAACGGCUUACCAAGGCAACGAUGCGUAGCCGACCUGAGAGGGUGGUCGGCCAUCACGGAACUGAGACAAGGUCCAGAAUACUACGGGAGGAAGCAGUAGGGAAUCUUACGCAAUGGGGGAAAGAAUGACGGAGCAACGCCGCGUGGGUGAUGAAGGUCUUCGGCUCGUAAAACUCUGUUAUCAGGGAAGAACAAAUGUGUAAGUAACUAUGCACGUCUUGACGGUACCUAAUCAGAAAGCCACGGCUAACUACGUG
rnacentral:rRNA from 1 species